UUUUUUUUUUUUUUUCUUUUUUGGUCGCUUUUUUACAAAAAAAAAAAAAAAAACCAAACCAAAAACCAAAAUAACCAAAAAAGCCACCAGCAUCAGAUUUACAAUAUAAAAGUUUUGACAGUAGAGAGACUAAAGUACAUCUGGAAUUACUCAGAAAAAUAAACAGGGAAAAGGCAGUAAUUUCAAAUUUGUCCCUCAUAUUUACACAUAAUACACAGACAUUGCUUACAAAGACCCGGAUCCCAGUUUAAGGGCAGUUGGCAUCGUGAGAAGGCUCCCCCGGCAUCGCCCUCGUGCCCGCCCGGGCCGGGAGCGGCUCCGGGAUCUCCCCGCGGCCCCUCCGUGGUUUUAUUGCUUUGCGGGGCCGGUGGUUGUGGAGAAAGGCAUCGAGUCCCCCCCGCUGCUGCUCCCGGGGGACACCGGGACACCCCCAGCCCCGGGAAUUCCCUCGGGAAUUGGCAACGUCCCCGCUGCCAGCGCAGAUUUCAGGGAGACUCAGCUCGGGACACCACGGCAGGAUUUGGGAAGAGGAGCUGAAAAUCCGGGCUCGGGCUGGGGACCCCCGCAAGAUUCCCAAAUCCACGAAUCCCCACGGCCACGGUGCCUCCCUCUGCUCGGGCUGCUGGAUUUAUGGGAUCUCCCGUGCUCAGGGAAGGCUCCGGCUCCCAUCCCACAGCCUGGAAUCAGCUCUGCCUCAGCCGGGACGUGGGGAUGGCAGAGGUGCCAUUCCCAAGGCCUUCUCCCAAAAUGAGCCAAGGCAAGGAGCCAGGCACGGCCUGGGAUGGGCACGGAGCCCCCGGGACGGGCACGGAGCCCCCAGGACAGGCACGGAGCCCCCGGGAUGGGCACGGAGCCCCCAGGAUGGCACGGAGCCCGGACAGAAUCUCCCUCAGGAGAUGCCCGGAUGGCCCUGCCAGCCCCGGGCACCGCCGUGGUCCCAGAGCCCCCCGCUCUCCUGGAGAUCCGGAUUAUUCCCAACAAACAGCCCAGCCUGGGUCAUUUUUAGAUCGGUUUGGGGCUCUGGAGGCGGCCCCGGGGCGUCCCGGGGAUGUCUGUGCUUUGUGCUAACAGUCACAGCCCGGGGGUCCCAGCCAGGGGAUGGAAAAGCCGCGGAACGGCGGCUCCAGAGGCUCCAACUCAACAGCAACCGUGGGAUACUCCGAGUGCGGAUGGACGGAGCAGGCCGGGGGGAAACGGAGCCAAGGAGGGAUUUGCUGGAGCGAAUUCACCAGGGAAAACCACCAGGAACCCCUCGGGACCGGGACGUGCAGCAGGGAUCAUCCCCGCGGAUCCCAGGCCUCAGGCAGGGUAAAGGAAAGGUUUGGAAAAUGUCACAGCAAGGAGAAUGCCUGGAAAACUCCACAUUUCCACCCGAAUUCCCCUCAACUGACGCCGCAGCCGGGUUGGACAUGGAAGGCAAAGACAGAAAGAAGGAAAAGGGAAACUCCAUGGCCUCUGAGAGCGCCAGGGACAGCCUGGGAUGGCUCCAGCCUGGAGCAGCCUCUCCCGCCCGGAGAAAAUGGAACAGGGAUCAAAUCAGGGGAAGGAGCCGCUCCGUUCUCAGCCCUGGGACCCCUGGAAUUCCCAGCCCUGCCCAGCACCCGGGACUGGGACUGGGAUUGGGAUUGGGACUGGAUUGAUUUGUACCAGCGCUGGAGCCCAUUGGGAAGGUGCGAAUCUCCUGCUCCAGGAGAUCCCAGCAAAGCCAAAAGCUCUGGGAAAAACGGGAUUUGGGUGAGUUUAGAAAUCUCUGCAAUAAAUUUUUAUAAAUAUUCCCUAUUUACAGCAAACGGUGGGAAUGGGAGAGUGGGGAGGGAAGGAGGAGGCAGGAACAUGAUUGGUACAGCUCCUGCUGCCAUUGCUGGGAUGCUCCUGCUGUGCCCAGUGUCCCCUCAGCCCUCAUUCCAUGGAUCCAUCCCCUCUGGAAUGCUCCUGCCUGUCUCCAGUGUCCCCUCAGCCCCCAUUCCAUGGAUCCAUCCCCUCUGGGAUGUUCCUGCCUGUGCCC
rnacentral:lncRNA from 1 species